AUGAACAAGGACAUCCAGUGGAAGUUUUGGAAAUAUGUCAAUAACUUUAUUUUCCCCUGCCCAGGAAAGAGAAAAAGAAGGAGGAGAAAAAUUAAUUUAUUCAUAAAAAUAUAUGCAAAACAAAGCAGGGAAGAAAAUAUGCAUACCUACCAUAAAAUCCCUCUUUGAUAUUUUACAACUAAAUUAGAAGGAUCACCACCAGCAACAGCACACAUUAUAUAUGCAAUGGUGACGUACUGUUUCUUCAAUAGACCAUCGGGCUAUUUCAUUAAGACAGCAUCUUCAGACAAUGUGGUACAUGGUAGCACCAAUUUAAAUCAACAGACUGAAUAAACUACGAGAACCACUCCCACCUGCUUGAGGUCACAGUCACACCAGAAUCUCCGGUAAAGAUCUGGAAGCAAUGAGUGGUAGUAGGUAUUGAAUAAAAUUGUCAUUGCCUUACAAGAGGACACAUCAUUGAGGUCAUUUAGAAUCUUCAGGUGAAGGAAGACUGAUGUUCUCAAACAGAAAAGAUGGGCUGUUUCUGAUGGAAAUUAAGGAUCAAUGAGGAGACUGUUUUCCAUGGGUCUCUCACAUUUCUGGACAUCUUGCAAAUGAAGGCACUCACUGACUUUAUUUCAAAUUAUCUUUUGAAGGAUGUUUAUAUAGCAAAUGACAGAGAAAAUGUCUCUCUCUAGGGUGAAGACCAGAUAGAAUUACUGCUCAUUUUAAAAGAUUCAGGUACCCUAUGUUUAGAAUUCCUCUCUUGUACCCCACCCCAUUAUGUGUGCAGGUAUUACCCAGAC
rnacentral:lncRNA from 1 species